AUGCUACUCCCUCCGUCCGGAAAUACUUGUCAUCAAAAUAAAUAAAAAUGGAUGUAUCUAGAUAUAUUUUAGUUCUAGAUACAUUUAUUUUUGUUCAUUUUGAUGAAAAAUAUUUUCGGACGGAGGGCAUGUAUCUU
rfam:Triticum aestivum genome assembly, contig: Triticum_aestivum_CS42_TGACv1_scaffold_404508_5BL